CUCCUGCACUGUGGUGAUGUAACAUCAUGUUUUCUAAACCUAAGGAGCUGUCUGGUGGUUUACUUGAAGACACAGUCCUCAACAGAAAGAUUCCACAAUGACAACUGGGAAGCUUACAUGAAGCAGAACUGAGUUCCUGUGGUUAGUUAUAUGCGAUAUCAGAAACAGAAUGCCAUGGUAAGUAGAUCAUCUUGAGUGUAGUAUUUUUGAAUAUAAUUUAAAGAUCUCUUGGUUGCAUUUAUUUUUUGUUGGGUGUA
rnacentral:lncRNA from 1 species